rnacentral:rRNA from 1 species
GACGAACGCUGGCGGCACGCCUAACACAUGCAAGUCGAACGGACUUAAAAGAGCUUGUUUUUUUAAGUUAGUGGCGGACGGGUGAGUAACACGUGAGCAACCGGCCUCUGAGAGGGGGAUAGCUUCUGGAAACGGAUGGUAAUACCCCAUAAAAUAUAAAAAUGGCAUGAUAGAUAUAUCAAAGAAAUUCGCUCAGAGAUGGGCUCGCGUCUGAUUAGAUAGUUGGUGAGGUAACGGCUCACCAAGUCGACGAUCAGUAGCCGGACUGAGAGGUUGAACGGCCACAUUGGGACUGAGACACGGCCCAGACUCCUACGGGAGGCAGCAGUGGGGAAUAUUGCACAAUGGCGGGAACUCUGAUGCAGCGAUGCCGCGUGGAGGAAGAAGGUUUUCGGAUUGUAAACUCCUUUUAUCAGGGACGAUAAUGACGGUACCUGAAGAAAAAGCUCCGGCUAACUACGUG